rnacentral:snRNA from 1 species
UUCUUUGCGCAGUGGCAGUAUCGUAGCCAAUGAGGUGAAUCCGAGGCGCGAUUAUUGCUAGUUAAUUUUUAAUA